GCACUCACUUCAGCAGAUCAUAUACUAAAAUUGGAAGGAUACAGAGAUACAUAUGGCCCCUGCACAAGGAUGAAACACAAAUCCGUGAAAUGUUCCAUAUUCCU
ensembl:snRNA U6 U6 spliceosomal RNA